ACGAAAUGGCAAGAAAAAAAAAGAAGAGAAGAGAAGAGAAAUUAAGGUAGAAAGAAGGAAAGAGCUACGGUUUUGGGAGGAGAAAAAGCCCAAAACGUUACCAAACAGCCAAUAAGUUUCAGCUGCGCUAAAGGAAAUUCCGAGGCAAGUUUUGGCGAGUUUUGGUGAAUUUUGGGAAAGGUUCAAGAGACGACGAGGCGAGCAUAGUUAAGAGUAAUCCGUAAGAGGUACGUAAAGCGAACCUUUCUUUCUUUUGGCAUGUUUUUGACAUAAGUAUGUAAAGCAUAUUCUUUCGAUUUUCAUGUUUUGACAUAAGUAUGUAAAGCUAAUCUUUGUUUUGGUAUGGUAUUUAUGAAACAAAAAUAUGACUUUUAUAUAAUUUCAAAGUGGUUCCUAUUCCUAGAGCCAUUAGGAUGGCCAAUUCCUUGAUUUCCAAAAGGUAUUUUAUUAUGCUUCGAUACGUCUAUAUGAUUCCAGAAGAUUUAUUCUGAUAUAAUCCAGGGUAACUUUCGA